CAUUUAAAAAUUUUUUGAAUGGGGGCCGGGCACGGAGGUACCUGCCUGUAAUCCCAGCACUUUGGGAGGCCAAGGCAGGUGGUUCACUUGAGCUCAGGAGUUUGAGAUUAGUCU